rnacentral:rRNA from 1 species
CCCUUAGAUGUCCGGGGCCGCACGCGCGCUACACUGAAGGAAUCAGCGUGGCUUUCUCCCUGACCCGAAAGGGUUGGGAAACCCGUUGAAUCUCCUUCGUGAUAGGGAUUGGGGCUUGAAAUUGUUCCCCAUGAACGAGGAAUUCCCAGUAAGCGCGAGUCAUAAGCUCGCGUUGAUUACGUCCCUGCCCUUUGUACACACCGCCCGUCGCUACUACCGAUGAGUCGUCCGGUGAAGUUCGUAGACCUCGUGAUCGCGGAUCACUGGGGGAAGCAAAAUGAACCUCGCGGUUUAGAGGAAGGAGAAGUCGUAACA